AUAAAAAGCUUCUGCAUAGUGAAGGAAACAAUCCACAAAACAAAAGGCAAUCGACGGAAUGGGAGAAGAUAUUUGCAAAGGACAUAUUGGAUAAAAGGUUAGCAUCCAAGAUCUAUAAAUAUCCUCUCAAACUCAA